UACGUAGGGUGCGAGCGUUAAUCGGAAUUACUGGGCGUAAAGCGUGCGCAGGCGGUCUCGUAAGACAGGUGUGAAAUCCCCGGGCUUAACCUGGGAACUGCGCUUGUGACUGCGAGGCUGGAGUGCGGAAGAGGGAGGUGGAAUUCCACGUGUAGCAGUGAAAUGCGUAGAGAUGUGGAGGAACACCGAUGGCGAAGGCAGCCUCCUGGUCCAGCACUGACGCUCAUGCACGAAAGCGUGGGGAGCAAACAGC
rnacentral:rRNA from 1 species